rnacentral:rRNA from 1 species
GAGUUUGAUCUUGGCUCAGGACGAACGCUGGCGGCGUGCUUAACACAUGCAAGUCACGGGGGCCCGCAAGGGCAACCGGCGAACGGGUGCGUAACACGUGAGCAAUCUGCCGAUUUCUGGGGGAUAGCCGGCCCAACGGCCGGGUAAUACCGCAUACGCUCAUUUGGGGGAGUCCCCGAGUGAGGAAACCUCCGGGGGAAAUCGAGGAGCUCGCGGCCUAUCAGCUAGUUGGCGGGGUAACGGCCCACCAAGGCUCUGACGGGGUAGCUGGUCUGAGAGGAUGGCCAGCCACAUUGGGACUGAGAGACGGCCCAGACUCCUACGGGAGGCAGCAGUGGGGAAUCUUGCGCAAUGGCCGAAAGGCUGACGCAGCGACGCCGCGUGUGGGGAGGAAGCCCUUC